AAAUGAAUAGACGGGGCCCCGCACAAGCGGCGGAGCAUGCGGAUUAAUUCGAUGCAACGCGAAGAACCUUACCUGGGUUUGACAUGGAUUGGUAACGGUCAGAGAUGGCCGCCCCCCUUGUGGGCCGGUUCACAGGUGGUGCAUGGCUGUCGUCAGCUCGUGUCGUGAGAUGUUGGGUUAAGUCCCGCAACGAGCGCAACCCUCGUCCACUGUUGCCAGCAUUUGGUUGGGGACUCAGUGGAGACCGCCGGGGUCAACUCGGAGGAAGGUGGGGAUGACGUCAAGUCAUCAUGCCCCUUAUGUCCAGGGCUUCACGCAUGCUACAAUGGCCGGUACAAAGAGUGGCGACAUCGUGAGGUGGAGCGAAUCUCAGAAAGCCGGUCUCAGUUCGGAUUGGGGUCUGCAACUCGACCCCAUGAAGUCGGAGUCGCUAGUAAUCGCAGAUCAGCAACGCUGCGGUGAAUACGUUCCCGGGGCUUGUACACACCGCCCGU
rnacentral:rRNA from 1 species